UAGCUACUUCCACGAAGUGAUUAUAAUGUUUAUUUUUAGACCACAUCUGCUUCUAGAAAAAAAGAAGAAGAUCCUUUUAGCAGCCAUGGUUUCUGCAGAGCUGAUUACACCCACUUCUAGAGCAUUAGUCUUUCUCUAUUACAAUCACCAGACAGUGCCAAAGAUGCAACAUGGCCAAAAAUGUCUGUGAUCAAGUAUUCGAAGAUUUCCGUUUGGUAAUCCCACUGGCUUGCGUUUGCUACUAGUCUUGCUUUACUAUAAGAUGACUUGGAAGCUCCAUUCAAAAGGGAUUACGUUUGUGGACGUAUUAUGGAAAUAGAUCCCAAACUAAUGGACCGGAAUUCAGAGCACUGGAUAUUAUGGAAAGGAUACAAGGACCAAAAGGUUUCCACCUCAAUGAUCCUCACCACUCGAUAAAGGGGUGAAGGGGAACUUCGGCCUCAGGCACCACGGCCAACCGGAACGACUAGGACUAGGCUUUUAAGUUUUCGUUUGACAUUUAUUCAACUACAUUUAUUCUGUGACGUAUUUUUUAAAAUCAGAAACAUAAGGACAUCCACAUAAUAAUAUUUAUUCGCAAACAGGAA